rnacentral:lncRNA from 1 species
CAACAGUUCUGAAAAAGAACGAGUGCACGUGUAUCAUCCAAAAGAGGGACAAGCAUUCAUCUCUUAGAAAGCUGAAGAGAAUACUAAAUUGUUCUCAACAGAAGAUUGAUAUAGACUGAAAAUAUCUGGAACGUAUCUGUGUAAAUAAAAUUUAUCCAAAGAAAAACAGAUGAUGAAGCUGCAACUCCAAUUUCUCUCUCUAGGAAUGUUAUUAAGACUAUCAGUGCUCCUAACCUUAGCUACAUCAACUAAUGAAACUUUAAAGCAUGUAUGCCCUCAGAUGUCACAUAUUCAUCCUUGCGAGUGCUUGGAGAUUCCUAACUUUAGCACUCAACGUAAAAACAGCAGCUUUCCUGAACUUGAAAUUAUUGCAUUCUGUAAGAAUAUAAGUCACGAAGGUGUUCUCGAAAGUGCUUUAAGAGGUUUCCGAAAUCACACAAUUGACUAUUUUGUUCUGGAUAACUGUUUACUUCCUCCAUUUCCCAACGGAUUUUUCAAAAACGUCAAUAUUAAAUGGAUGGAAAUAUUGAGUUCAACCAUACAGUUUAAACAAAAUUUCCUUUCAUGUGCUGAAAAUUGUUUUUAAUAGAGUCAGAAAUUCCCUAAGAUAUGGAAAAUAUCUUAAUAAUAUUAAGAGUAUAAAAUUGAUAAACAAUACCCAAAAUAUCAACAUGUAGAAAAAACUGGAAUUAUCAAAGGUUCUGAUGUAAAUAAGAACUUCAUAUAAGUUAAUGUUAGAGAUUAUUUAUUCAAGAAUGUAACUAUUUUUAUGUUAAAAAAUGACAUAAGUUUGUGAAUCAUUGCCACAAAUAGCUUAAACGAUCAUUUAAGUUAAUGUCGCAAUUAGUUAAUUUUUUUAUUACAAUAUUUUGAUUACUAGCUAUUUUGUAUCCUUCAUUUCGGCUGCUAAUUUGCUGUUAUCUUUUAGGGAAGUCCCAAUAAGGACCGUGUCUGCAGUGGUAAUAGCCAGGAUUCGAACCUGAAUCUUCUUGAAAUGGUAGUGUGCUAUCCAUCAUCAGUGAGCUCUCUCAUUAGAACUUCAAACAACUAACUAUUUACAUAGUUUUAAGAUGGAUACCGAGGUUUUGUUUACUGGUAUACGAGACUGUCUGAAUAUGUUAUUAGUUAGGUGGAUGUAGAAGGAUUUUUUAAAAUAAAUUUCACAUAAAGAAUCCAUCAACCGAUUUUCAAAACAAGAAACCUGCUGACACCAUAGACAUACCUAAAUUCACAGUAACUUCAAGUAAACGACCAUUAGCAGAACCCAAAGAAAGUGUGCUAAAUAAGAGACUAAACUUCGCACUAAUACAUCACAAAAUAUCCAUCUAGAUAUUGUCACAACCACAGAAGACACAACUUACAGUCUAUCAAAAGAAGAAAAAUAAUAAUUGUGAAUCAGCGUAAGUCAGUAGUCCAGAAAGCCAUGAACUGCAAAUCCCACUAUAAUACUAUCCUAUCAAAAACACUGUCCUCAUGAACUUAAAGAAAGACAAUAUCAUAACAAUUUUAUCAGCAGACAAAGAAUACGUUACUGUGAUCACUGCCAAAGAGUACAUCAUAGCACCGACGUGGCAUGGCCUAGUAGUUAAGGUGCUAGGCUCGCAAUCGACGGGUCACGGGUUUGAAUCCCCGGCAGCAAACACGCUCACCCCUUUAGGGUUGCUGUAAGGACCAGCCACUCGAGUGUAAAAAUUCUUGGCUAUUACAAAAUACCCGAGCGGUCUGCCUCAAAUCUAAUCAAAAUUAAGGUCGAAUAUUAAAGGAUCACAUAACAUAGCUAUUUCGUACCUAAAAUUCAGAAGCAAGGCUGCUCUCUUCGUCCUAUUUUUGACAGAAGAGAUUUCUUUAGCUAGAUAUAUUGUAGGUAUUAUAUCACCCUUAACAUGUAAAACCUUUUCAUGUGUUAAGAACUCAGUUCACUUUUCAAAGAUUAUAAAAGUAACCCUAAUAACCCCACAAAACACAACGAUCAGCUUUGAUGUAUCCAACUAUGUCAUUUGCAUAUCAAACCUUGAAAUGCCACAGACUACUCCGCAAAAAGCUUUAAAAUGACAGAACUCUCAAGUAACACGCCCAGCUGACAAUCUCCCCAAUCACAGAACUCAGAAUAUUCUGUAUCAACACAACUUACCUCCAACAUGAAGAUGAAUACUACCAACAACAAGAAGGCAUAACAUAAGUUCACCCUGUUACUACUACUUAGAAACCUCUACAUGGAAAAUUACGAAGAUAGACUCUCAAAACAGCUACUCAAAGACCCAGUAUUUGACUAAGAUAUCUUAACAAUACAUUCGUAAUAUGGACAUACACACUGCAGACAAGAUUACAGAAUCCAUGAACCAACUGAACAGACAACAUCGAGCUAUAUACCUCACCAGACAUGACGACUACCAAAACAUAUAACACAUAUACCACGGGAGUUUACAGGAAACUACAAAUACUGGUAAAUACGUCCAUCAAACCACUAUAGAGUUCUUAGUUUCAAGUAUGCCCAACACAAAUGAUCGCAGUUGGUACAACAUUAGGCCACGUACAAACCUAAUGGACACCAAAAACACCAUUUACAACAUCCCCUGUGAUUGUGGACUCUAGUAAAUUGGAGAAACAAAAACAACAGAAAGUAGAAUUCAGGAGCAUAACAAACAUACUAGCCUAUAAUACCGAUCUACCUGCUCUCAUCAUGCUAAAUAAGAAAACUAUACAAUAAAAUUGAAUAACAUUAGAAUAAUUUGACAUGAACCAUACUCUCACAAGAAAAAGAAAGUUAAAGAAUCCUUCUACAUCUACGUUGGUAAUCAUACACACGAUCAACCUAGAACAAAAGUAAAAAAUUCUGAAUACUCUUCUUGCAAGCAUUCAAAGAGUAAGUUGAUUAAAGCCCUAACGAGUGGAUAGUAUAUAACCUUUUUAUCAAGAAGACACAGGAUCGAUUCCAGAUUACUAUCACCAGAGACACACCUUUUUUCCAGUACUUCCCUGAAGUUGGCAAUAAUAUAGUUUGUAAUGAAAAUCUAGCAAUAAAAAAUUGAUAAUUACACGA